rnacentral:misc_RNA from 1 species
AUGAAACUUCAAGUCGGCUGUUCUGUGCUGGUGGCAACACAUGUGCACGUUCAGUUGCAAUCCACACACCUGUGCACUUUGACUCUGAGCACCGCCUGUAACAUGGCAGAAGGUUUGAGAUGAAGGUCUUAACCUGGUACUCGAGUAGUUUACACACUCUGUAUGUAAUAGAAUGUAACUGUACAAUGUACAACCAUAAA